GACGAACGCUGGCGGCGUGCUUAACACAUGCAAGUCGAACGGAAAGGCCUCUUUCGGGGGGUACUCGAGUGGCGAACGGGUGAGUAACACGUGAGUAACCUGCCCUUGACUUUGGGAUAACUUCAGGAAACUGGGGCUAAUACCGGAUAGGAGCUCCUGCUGCAUGGUGGGGGUUGGAAAGUUUCGGCUGUUGGGGAUGGACUCGCGGCUUAUCAGCUUGUUGGUGGGGUAGUGGCUUACCAAGGCUUUGACGGGUAGCCGGCCUGAGAGGUUGACCGGCAACAAUGGGACUGAGAUACGGCCCAGACUCCUACGGGAGGCAGCAGUGGGGAAUAUUGCACAAUGGGUGGAAGCCUGAUGCAGCAACGCCGUGUGCGGGAUGACGGCCUUCGGGUUGUAAACCGCUUUCGCUCAUGACGAAGCUUUGUGUGACGGUAGUGGGUAAAGAAGCACCGGCUAACUACGUG
rnacentral:rRNA from 1 species